rnacentral:rRNA from 1 species
CUGAGAGGGUGAACGGCCAGAUUGGGACUGAGACACGGCCCAGAACUCCUACGGGAGGCAGCAGUGGGGAAUAUUGCACAAUGGGGGAAACCCUGAUGCAGCGACGCCGCGUGACGGAAGAAGUAUUUCGGUAUGUAAAGCUCUAUCAGCAGGGAAGAUAAUGACGUACCUGACUAAGAAGCUCCGGCUAAAUACGUGCCAGCAGC